AUUUCUCUAUCGUUCCUCUUCCCGGUGACGCUUCUCCUCCCCUGCACUCUUUCUGUCGUCGCCGGUACACCGGCGCUGGAGGUUCUUUCCGGCGAUUCGUGGUCAUUCCUCGGCGCCUUUAGCAAAUUGAUGAACAAAGAACUAUGAAUGGCCUUCACGGAGACGAUGCCCAAAUGCACAUUGGGGAAGCACAAGAUCCGAUGCAUGUACAAUAUGAGCAUCAUGGUUUGCACCACAUCAACAAUGGAAACCGUAUGGUUGAGAUGCAUGCUGAUGGUGGCACCACUGGUCGGGUGAAUGGAGGAGUGGAAACAGACAUUCCUUCUCACACUGGAAAUUUUUCAGACAAUCGUGGUGAAGUGGUUGACCGUGGUAGUGAAAAUGGAGAUCAGCUGACAUUGUCUUUUCAAGGCCAAGUUUAUGUCUUUGACAGCGUCUCGGCUGAGAAGGUCCAAGCUGUGCUUCUACUGUUAGGAGGCCGUGAAUUACCGCAGGCUGUUUCUCCAGCUGUAGGGCCGACAACUCCUCAGAACAAUAGGGGUUUUUCUGGUAUUCCUCAAAGGUUUAGUGUCCCCCAACGGUUGGCCUCCUUAGUCAGAUUCCGAGAGAAACGAAAGGGGAGGAAUUUCGAUAAGAAAAUCCGGUACACAGUUCGUAAAGAAGUUGCCUUGAGGAUGCAACGUAAUAAAGGUCAGUUCACAUCUGCCAAAUCAAACAAUGACGAUUCUGCAUCAGCAGGAUCAAACUGGGAGUCAAACCCCACCUGGGGCAUUGAAGGGACCGAAUCUCAGGCUCAAGAGAUUUCGUGCCGGCACUGUGGAAUCAACGAGAAGUCUACUCCCAUGAUGCGACGAGGUCCUGAAGGACCAAGAACGCUUUGCAAUGCUUGUGGACUAAUGUGGGCAAACAAGGGGACUCUCAGGGACCUAUCCAAAGCCACUCCAGCUGCACAAAAUCUGCCUGUAAAUAGGACCAACCAGGAUGCAAAUGUCGAGGCCGAUCAAAUGAUGAGAGUUACUGGUAACAUUAGCAACUCGUCAUGACUAACAGAGAAAUAUGAUCCGUCCGACCUCAGGUCAGGUGCGUGCUUUAACCCGAUAUUGUUAGAAGGAAUCUGAGUUCAGUUCGGUUUUUAUUUUUGGGAGCGAAUUCCGAUGAUGGAACAUUGGGACAACGCCCUGCCGCCGUGGUGGUCUGUUACAGAAAGGUUCAUAUAGCCAGUCUUCUGUUAUAUACAGUAUGUGUGGACAUACAUACAUUACAUGCAUACAUAUACAUGAAUAUACUGUAUCUUUCCCUAGUUUAGAGGACUUUAUGAAAUCUAACUCCUUUCGCCGUAUCAUCAUUGCCUUGGGCGUUUUGUUUGUGAUUGGUUCUUGUUUUGAUGUUUCAUGCCUUAGUCCUAUGACUCUGACUAGGGUUUAUACAAGCCAUGGAAACUGUUACUUAGU